rnacentral:rRNA from 1 species
CCCUUAGAUGUUCUGGGCCGCACACGCGCUACACUGAUGCAUUCAACGAGCCUAUCCUUGACCGACAGGUCCGGGUAAUCUUUGAAUCUGCAUCGUGACGGGGAUAGAUUAUUGCAAUUAUUAAUCUUCAACGAGGAAUGCCUAGUAGGCGCAAGUCAUCAGCUUGCGUCGAUUACGUCCCUGCCCUUUGUACACACCGCCCGUCGCUCCUACCGAUUGGGUGUGCUGGUGAAAUGUUCGGAUCGGCCGUUUGUCGCGGUUUCCGCGUCAUGUGGCUGAGAAGUUCAUUAAACCCUCCCACCUAGAGGAAGGAGAAGUCGUAACA